rnacentral:pre_miRNA from 1 species
UUAACUAAAUUUUUUAUGAAGUUGGAACGUUUGCCUACGUUUGCCGCUAGGGGCGCUGUUCCAAUUGCAUCAAAUUCACAAA